CAGUCGCCGCGGGAAUACGUAGGGUGCAAGCGUUAAUCGGAAUUACUGGGCGUAAAGCGUGCGUAGGCGGUGAGUUAAGUCUGCUGUGAAAUCCCCGGGCUCAACCUGGGAAUGGCAGUGGAUACUGGCUCGCUAGAGUGUGUCAGAGGAUGGUGGAAUUCCCGGUGUAGCGGUGAAAUGCGUAGAGAUCGGGAGGAACAUCAGUGGCGAAGGCGGCCAUCUGGGACAACACUGACGCUGAGGCACGAAAGCGUGGGGAGCAAACAGGAUUAGAUACCCCGGUAGUCCAUGUCUCUUAUAU
rnacentral:rRNA from 1 species